ACGAACGCUGGCGGCGUGCUUAACACCUGCAAGUCGAACGGAAAGGCCCUGCUUGCAGGGUCCUCGAGUGGCGAACGGGUGAGUAACACGUGGGUGAUCUGCCCUGCACUUCGGGAUAAGCCUGGGAAACUGGGUCUAAUACCGGAUAGGAGCCAUUUUUAGUGUGAUGGUUGGAAAGUUUUUUCGGUGUAGGAUGAGCUCGCGGCCUAUCAGCUUGUUGGUGGGGUAAUGGCCUACCAAGGCGGCGACGGGUAGCCGGCCUGAGAGGGUGGACGGCCACAUUGGGACUGAGAGACGGCCCAGACUCCUACGGGAGGCAGCAGUGGGGAAUAUUGCACAAUGGGCGCAAGCCUGAUGCAGCGACGCCGCGUGGGGGAGGACGGCCUUCGGGUUGUAAACUCCUUUCGCUAGGGACGAAGCUUUUUGUGACGGUACCUAGAUAAGAAGCACCGGCUAACUACGUG
rnacentral:rRNA from 1 species